CUCGAAAGAGUGAACUAGCUAACUGAAAUCCCUAGUGUGUCACUAGAGAUGUAGUAAGAGACAAUAAUGAUUUUAUCUUACUAAAAGUGCCGUCCUAAGCUGGUGCCAGAAGACUCGGUAAGACCAGAGGCGCAAACGUUAAUCAUCUUAAACAGGCGUAAAGGGUUUGUAGGCUGCUUUAUGUUUUAAACAAUUACAAAGCUAGAAUCAAAUAGAGGUAAAUUAAAGAAUACUUAGAGUAGGGAUUAAAUCCAAAGAUCCUAAGGAGAAUACUAAAGGCGAAAGCAUUAUACCAAUACUGAUUGACGCUGAGAAACGAAAGUGAGGAUAGGGAACAGGAUUAGAGACCCUGUCACUCCUCUCUGUCAACGAUGAAUGGUAGCUCUAGCUUUCUAAAGCUAUAAGCGAAGUUAACACGAUAACCAUUCCGCCUUGUGAGUACAAUUGCAAGAUUGAAAACAAAAAAAUUAGAUGGUCUCGGAGCAAACGAAGUGAAGCAU
rnacentral:rRNA from 1 species